rnacentral:rRNA from 1 species
UAGGGAAUCUUCCGCAAUGGACGCAAGUCUGACGGAGCAACGCCGCGUGAGUGAAGAAGGAUCUCGGUUCGUAAAACUCUGUUGUUAGAGAAGAACAGCGCAUAGAGUAACUGUUAUGCGUGUGACGGUAUCUAACCAGAAAGCCACGGCUAACUACGUGCCAGCAGCCGCGGUAAUACGUAGGUGGCAAGCGUUGUCCGGAUUUAUUGGGCGUAAAGCGAGCGCAGGCGGUCAAUUAAGUCUGAUGUGAAAGCCCCCGGCUCAACCGGAGAGGGUCAUUGGAAACUGGUUGGCUUGAGUGCAGAAGGGGGGAGUGGAAUUCCAUGUGUAGCGGUGAAAUGCGUAGAUAUAUGGGAGAACACCAGUGGCGAAGGCGACUCUCUGGUCUGUAACUGACGCUGAGGCUCGAAAGCGUGGGUAGCAAACAGG